rnacentral:rRNA from 1 species
GACGAACGCUGGCGGCGUGCUUAACACAUGCAAGUCGAACGGAAAGGCCCCUUUGGGGGUACUCGAGUGGCGAACGGGUGAGUAACACGUGAGUAACCUGCCCUUGACUUCGGGAUAACUUCAGGAAACUGGGGCUAAUACCGGAUAGGAAUCCUUGCUGCAUGGUGGGGGUUGGAAAGCUUCGGCGGUUUUGGAUGGACUCGCGGCUUAUCAGCUUGUUGGUGGGGUAGUGGCUUACCAAGGCUUUGACGGGUAGCCGGCCUGAGAGGGCGACCGGCCACAUUGGGACUGAGAGACGGCCCAGACUCCUACGGGAGGCAGCAGGGGGGAAGAUUGCACAAUGGGCGGAAGCCUGAUGCAGCAACGCCGCGGGCGGGAUGACGGCCUUCGGGUUGUAAACCGAUUUCAGCAGGGGCGAAGCUUGUGGUGACGGUACCUGCAGAAGAAGCACCGGCUAACUACGUG